AUCCAGUUGACGAGUUCUACGUAGGACGAAACGCGCGUCAUGGAU
rfam:Schistosoma curassoni strain Dakar, Senegal genome assembly, scaffold: SCTD_scaffold0000405